GACGAACGCUGGCGGCGUGCUUAACACAUGCAAGUCGAACGGUGAAGGGGCCUGCUUUUGUGGGCCCUGGAUGAGUGGCGAACGGGUGAGUAACACGUGAGUAACCUGCCCCCUUCUUCUGGAUAACCGCAUGAAAGUGUGGCUAAUACGGGAUAUUCUGGGUCUGUCGCAUGAUGGGUCUGGGAAAGAUUGCGCCUUUGGGUGUUUUUGGUGGGGGAUGGGCUCGCGGCCUAUCAGCUUGUUGGUGGGGUGAUGGCCUACCAAGGCGGUGACGGGUAGCCGGCCUGAGAGGGUGGACGGUCACACUGGGACUGGGACACGGCCCAGACUCCUACGGGAGGCAGCAGUGGGGAAUAUUGCACAAGGGGCGCAAGCCUGAUGCAGCGACGCCGCGUGAGGGAUGGAGGCCUUCGGGUUGUAAACCUCUUUCGCCAGUGAAGCAGGCCUGCUCCUUGUGGGUGGGUUGACGGUAGCUGGAUAAGAAGCGCCGGCUAACUACGUG
rnacentral:rRNA from 1 species